CACGCAGUAAACGAUGAUUACUAGCUGUUUGCGAUAUACCGUAAGCGGCCGAGCGAAAGCAUUAAGUAAUCCACCUGGGGAGUACGUUCGCAAGAAUGAAACUCAAAGGAAUUGACGGGG
rnacentral:rRNA from 1 species